UACGUAGGGGGCAAGCGUUGUCCGGAAUCAUUGGGCGUAAAGAGCGCGUAGGCGGCCCAGUAAGUCCGCUCUGAAAGUCAGGGGCUCAACCCCUGGAUGCGGGUGGAUACUGCUGGGCUAGAGUCCGGAAGAGGCGAGUGGAAUUCCUGGUGUAGCGGUGAAAUGCGCAGAUAUCAGGAGGAACACCAAUUGCGAAGGCAGCUCGCUGGGACGUGACUGACGCUGAUGCGCGAAAGCCAGGGGAGCAAACGGG
rnacentral:rRNA from 1 species